GUUUUUGAUAAUCAAAAUUGCGGUUGCUGAUUUUGACCAUUAAUUUAUCAGGUUUUCGAAAGGCACACUAAACAAGAAUAUAAUAUGGUCUGUAGGUUUGUUCGAGUGGUGUUGGCCAUCACAGUCUUGUUGAUGUUGUUGAUAAUCGUCUGCUUUAAAUGGAGCAGAAGCGAUGAUCCUGAUAAUGUAGAAUGUCGAUAUACAGAACAAGUACGAAGAAUUAAACCUAAAGGUCCACGUUUAAAAAAAAUAUUUUAAUCAAAUUAUAUCAAAACACACAUGUGACUUAUAUAUAUAUAUAUAUUUAUAUUAUACAUGUGACUUAUAUAUAUAUAUUUACACACACAUGUGACUUAUAUAUAUAUUUAUAUUAUAAUAUAUAUUUAUUUAUAUUAUAUUCAUUAUUAUUAAAUAGAUUGUUAUUA